rnacentral:rRNA from 1 species
UACGUAGGGUGCAAGCGUUAAUCGGAAUUACUGGGCGUAAAGCGUGCGCAGGCGGUUAUGUAAGACAGGUGUGAAAUCCCAGGGCUUAACCUUGGAACUGCAUUUGUGACUGCAUAGCUAGAGUACGGUAGAGGGGGGGAUGGAAUUCCGCGUGUAGCAGUGAAAUGCGUAGAUAUGCGGAGGAACACCGAUGCGAAGGCAAUCCCCUGGACCUGUACUGACGCUCAUGCACGAAAGCGUGGGGAGCAAACAGG